rnacentral:rRNA from 1 species
UAUGGUUGUGUGCCAGCAGCCGCGGUAAUACGGAGGAUGCGAGCGUUAUCCGGAUUUAUUGGGUUUAAAGGGAGCGCAGACGGGUCGUUAAGUCAGCUGUGAAAGUUUGGGGCUCAACCUUAAAAUUGCAGUUGAUACUGGCGUCCUUGAGUGCGGUUGAGGUGUGCGGAAUUCGUGGUGUAGCGGUGAAAUGCUUAGAUAUCACGAAGAACUCCGAUUGCGAAGGCAGCACACUAAGCCGUAACUGACGUUCAUGCUCGAAAGUGUGGGUAUCAAACAGG